ensembl:lncRNA
CACAAUUUAUAAUGGUUUCAGUAGGCCCAUACUUCAGUCAAUGUAAUAAUGCAUUUAUAUAUCAUGCUGCCAGUUUAAGAAACACCUUCAUUCACACACAUACUGUGAAUAAAUUGUGUAAAAUAAAGUUGUGUACAGUUAAGUGGUUUAACAACCCUUUCUCAGUCUACCUCCCAUUUGUUGGGCUGUAAACAGAUGUAGUUCCCUUGUACACCUGGGAUGUCUUUCAGCUAACCACAGGUGUUACGGAUGUCUGUGCAUUUGAUUAAUUGAACCUCAUUUGAAAUGCCAAUCUCUUUAAGAAUCCCAGAGGCAGUGCCUCCUCUCCCUAGGUCUUUUAUUGUGCAUCUUGUCAUCACUGGGUCUAUAAAAGCGUAGCCCUCUUCACUGCCAACGUCAACAAAAUACUUGACCAUCCCCACUGAGCCAUGUUGGGUGACCACGACAUGGUUUACUCGUUUCCAUAAAGUACUUCCUGUUUUGGGAUGAAUGCGAUUCCCAUUAACGAUCACUCUAUGGUGAAAUUGACAUGGUUCUUCGUAAGUAACGUCUGACUCUCCAAGGAGAAAAGCCUCCCUCGAGGUUUCGUGCAACAGGAUACUGGCCGAGUUUGUAGCCCCUUAUCAUUUCUUCAACAAACCUUUUGCUAGCUUGGUUUGAUUCUAUAGAAUAGCAGGGAGUGUCGGAACUCUGUGGCAAGCAGUCUUUUGUUUAUGUGCUCUAUUUCUCUUCCAAUGUACCAGGACUCAGGGUGAUAUUUGGACUCAAACCACAGUGUAGUCAUUUACUGACACAUGCCAAGUAAGUUGCCCUGCAUGUAAUCAAUAGCAAACCCUGCCAUCAUGUUGAAAACCGUAGGGAACAUUAAAGGAGACGGGCCCUUAACGCCAUGUAUGAUGUUCCCUGACUCUACCACAAAGGCAACCUCUGCGGUGUUUAGUGUCUGUGUGUGGUUCUGGCUCAUGCGAUCACCAAGGCAACCCCUCUGCAGGUGUUUAGUGUCUGUGUGUGGCUCUGGCUCACUCAAGCGGAUACACUCUAGUGAACCCAUGACCCUUUUCUACCACUUCUCCUUUGUGAUAGCACCUGUUACCCAGGAGCUUCUCAAAGGGUGGCUACUUUGAAGAAUCUGAAAUAUAAAAUAUAUUUUGAUAUGUUUAACACUUUUUUUGGUUACUACAUGAUUCCAUAUAUGUUAUGUCAGUUUUGAUGUCUUCACUAUUAUUCUACAAUGUAGAAAAUAGUAAAAAGAAAAGAAAAACCCUUGAAUGAGUAGGUGUGUCCAAACUUUUGACUGACACUGUAUAUUCUGCAGGAUUCCUGCAUGAUCUUUAGUGCAUUACUCCUGUAGGACUUUGUAAGGGACGUAUCUUCUCCAACGUUAUAAUGAAAGUUGAUCUUCAAGGUUUUAUGACAGACUACAACUAUUGGUGUAUUGCCGCCACCUACUGUACAGGUAGUGAACGAAAAAUGAAAAUAUGCAUUGCAGGAAAUCAAAUCAAAGACUUUGUCAAGUGUGCCAAAUACAACAAGUGUAGUAGACCGUACAGUGAAAUGCUUACUUACAGGCCUUAACCAACAGUGCAAUUUUUAAGUAACAAAAAUAGGUAUUAGGUGAACAAUAGAAAAAUAUAUUUUUAAAAAACAAUAAAAAGACAGUGGAAAAUAACAGUGGCUAGGCUAUAUACAGACACCGGUUAGUCGGUCUAAUUGAGGUAGUAUGUACAUGUAGGCAUGGUUAAAGUGACUAUGCAUAUAUGAUAAACAGAGAGUAGCAGUAGCAUAAAAGAGGGGUUGGCGGGUGGUUGGGGGUGAUAAUCCUUCAGUGAUAAUCCAAAUAACAUCCAUACACAGGUUCAGGAAGAUGAAAGUGGUGCCCACAGACAUGACAGCCCUUCUUCUAUCUCCUUGGCAACUUUGCAGAAUAGUUUGUGUUAUUUCUUACAUUAUUAGCCCACAAUGUUUUUUGUGUUAUUCCAUACAGCCGGAAAUAACUUUUGGAUAUCGGAGCGGAAGGUAACUCACGAGGACUGGGAUAUGUUCCUGGUUGCCUCUGAGAAUAAUAUUGACUUAUACACGGACAUGGUGACUGAGUUUGUCAGGAAGUGUAUUGGGGAUGUUGUUCACACUGACUAUUAAAACCUACCCAAACCAGAAACUGUGGAUAGAUGGCAGCAUUCGGGCAAAACUGAAUGCACGAACCCACAGCAUUUAACCAUAGAAAAGUGACUGAGAAUAUGGUUGAAUACAAACAAUGUAGUUAUUCCCUCCGUAAAGCAAUCAAACAGGAAAAAUGUCAGUACAGAGACAAAGUGGAGUCGCAACUCAACGGCUCUGUCACGAGACGUAUGUGGCAGGGUCUACAGACAAUCAUGAAUUACAAAGGGAAAAGACACCGAUGUAUUGCUUUCAGACAAACUAAACACCUUCGCCCGCUUUGAGGAUAACACAGUGCCACCGACGCAGCCCGCUCCCAAGGACUGUGGGCUCUCCUUCUCCAUGGCCGACGUAAGACAUGUUAGCGUGUUAACCCUCGCAAUCCUGCCGGCCCAGAUGGAGCAUGCGCAGACCAGCUGGCUGGAGGGUUUACGGACAUAUUCAAUCUCUCCCUAUCCCAGUCUGCUGUCCCAACUUGCAAGAUGUCCACCAUUGUUCCUAUACCCAAGAAUGCAAAAGUAAAUGACUAUCUCCCCAUUGCACUCACUUCUGUCAUGAUGAAGUGCUUUGAGAGACUAGUCAAGGAUCACCUCCACCUUACUGCCCCAAUAGAGCCACAGACGAUGCAUUCACCAUCGCACCGCACACUGCCCCAUCCCAUCUGGACAAGAGGAAUAGCUAGGUAAGAAUGCUGUUCAUUGACAACAGCUCAGCCUUCAACACCAUAGUGCCCUCCCUGGGCCCUGGGUCUGAACCCCACCCUCUGCAACUGGACUUUCAGAUGGGCUGCCCCCCCAGGUGGUGAAGGCAGGAAACAACACCUCCAUUAUGCUGAUCCUCAACACAGGGCCCCACAAGGGUGCGUGCUCAGCCCCGUCCUGUGCUCUCUGUUCACCCAUAACUGCAUGGCCACGCACGCCUCCAACUCAAUCAUCAAGUUUGCAGACGACACAACAGUAGUAGGCCUGAUUACCAACAAUGACAAGACAGCCUACAGGGAGGAGGUGAGGUCCCUGGCAGAGUGGUACCAGGAAAAUAAACUCUCACUCAACAUCAACAAAACGAAGGAGCUGAUCGUGGACUUUAGGAGACAGCAGAGGGAGCCUAUCCACAUUGAUGGGACCGCAGUGGAGAAGGUGAAAAGUUUCAAGUUCCUCGGUGUACACAUCACUGACAAUCUGAAAUGGUCCACCCACACAUACAGUGCAGUGAGAAGGUGCAACAGCACCUCUUCAACCUCAGGAGGCUGAAGAAAUUUGGCAUGGCCCCUAAGACCCUCACAAACUUUUAAAGAUGUGCAAUUUAAAGCGUCAUGUCAGGCUGUUUCACCGCCUGGUAUGGCAACUGCACCGCCCGCAACUGCAGGGCUCUCCAGAGGGUGGUGCUGUCUGCCCAACACAUCAUUGGGGGCACACUGCCUUCCAUCCAGGACAUCUUCAGCACCCGAUGUCACAGGAAGGCCAAAAACCACCCGAGCCAAUACCUGUUCAUCCAGAAGGUGAGGUCAGUACAGGUGCAUCAAAACUGAAACUGAGAAACAGCUUCCAUCUCCAGGCCAACAGACUUAAAUAGCCACCACUAGCCGGCUACCACCCGGUUACUCAAACCUGCACCUUAGAGGCUGCUGCCCUGUGUACAUAAACAUAGAAUCACUGGUCACUUUAUUGAAGUGACUAGUGUUCCAUUAUUAAUGUUUACAUACUGCUUUACUCAUUUCAUAUGUAUAUACUGUAUUGUAGUCAAUGCCAUUCCAACAUUGCUCAUCCUAAUAUUUAUAUAUUUUUAAAUUCCAUUUACAGAUUUGAUCAGGUAUGAAGGUAAGACCCAGAUGCAGACAACAUCAAAUUAACAAUGGUUUAAUAAUUCAACAGGGGCAGGCAAUAGACAGGUCAAGGCAGGCAGGGGUCAGUAACUAGAGGUGGAGCAACGGUACAGGACGGCAGGCAGGCUCAGGGUAGGUAGAGGUCAAUAAUCCAGAGGUGGGGCAAAGGUACUGGACGGCAGGCAGGCUCAGGGUCAGGGUAGGUAGAGGUCAAUAAUCCAGAGGUGGGGCAAAGGUACUGGACGGCAGGCAGGCUCAGUGUCAGGGUAGGUAGAGGUCAAUAAUCCAGAGGUGGGGCAAAGGUACAGGAGGGUGAGAAAAGAGAGAGACUGGGGGAAGCAGGAGCUGAGACACAAAAAUGCUGGUUGACUUGACAAACA